rnacentral:rRNA from 1 species
UGCAAGUCGUACGAGAAACAUGUCCUUCGGGAUGUGGAGUAAAGUGGCGCACGGGUGAGUAACACGUGGGUAACCUGCCUUGGGGAUCGGGAUAACUGGCCGAAAGGCCCGCUAAUACCGGAUGAGACCACAUGAGCUUCGGCUCAAGAGGUCAAAGUCGGCCUCUCAACGAAGCCGGCACCACAAGAUGGGCCCGCGGACCAUUAGCUAGUUGGUAGGGUAAUGGCCUACCAAGGCUGAGAUGGUUAGCUGGUCUGAGAGGAUGAUCAGCCACACUGGAACUGAGAUACGGUCCAGACUCCUACGGGAGGCAGCAGUGAGGAAUAUUGCGCAAUGGAGGAAACUCUGACGCAGCAACGCCGCGUGGGUGAAGAAGGCUUUCGGGUUGUAAAGCCCUGUCAGGCGGGAAGAAACUUCCGCAGGUGAAUAGUCUGUGGAACUGACGGUACCGCCAAAGGAAGCACCGGCUAACUCCGUGCCAGCAGCCGCGGUAAGACGGAGGGUGCAAGCGUUGUUCGGAAUUACUGGGCGUAAAGCGCGUGUAGGCGGUCCGAUAAGUCGAGUGUGAAAGCCCGAGGCCCAACCUCGGAAGUGCAUUCGAAACUGUCGGGCUUGAGUACGGGAGAGGGAAGUGGAAUUCCUGGUGUAGAGGUGAAAUUCGUAGAUAUCA